UCCUCUAAUUACUAUCAUGGUUACACUAACUAAAAACCAGAGCCCGCAUACGAAACUGGAUGCACGCUUUUGUCCUAUUCCUUUGACAAAAUAUUCCCAUUUUGCACGAAGAGGUCGUCGGACACCGAAGAAUGGUUCUACUUUGGAUAAGCCAACUGGAAUUGCUCCAAAGUGUUCUCCUAGGUAGAAAGAUGACCACCUUUGCCACGUGAUGACGUGAACAUAGUGGAGUUUCUCAUCCAUUGCCGCUUUCAAAUGGGUCCGAACACUCUCAAUUUCCCUGGUUGCGAUGAUCAACACUCCUUAUUGGAUGACCAUAUCCUCCUCAGAUUUACUAACACGAGUUUUAGAUAGAUGCACAUUCUGUCGAUUUCCCUAGCUUCUCUCUUGGUGAUUUCCAAUGAACAAGAGAGUGCAUAGAUCAUUUUUGCCUACAGAUAUAACCUGAACCUCAAGGUUUUCAUAUGUUCAGCGGCAACAUCCUAUAUCUUCUUCAUCUAAUCCCUAUAGACUGCCCUGAAAUUCUCGAUGAGGCUAUGGAACCCACCUCAAAGAUCCCAUAUGUUUCCAAGUAUUUCAACAUAGAAUAAAAAAAUAACUCAUUGUUUCAUCUCCCUCGUAAAUGUUUGAGGUUCAUUUCUCAAACAUCGUUUUAGACCCAUCGUCUAGAAGAUAUUGGUUGAUACUCGUGGAAGUCGGAUAUUGUCAAACCGUUGGGUGGGCUAUUCCUCCACCAAUUGACUACCAACUUGCCUAUCUGAGCUAGUCGUUGGACCUUUGCUUUUCCAAGCAUCCCUUUCCAGAGAAGGAGAGGCACUAACCAGAGUAGCCAGAGUAGUUGAUUACAGGGCAUGUGCAACAAGACAUUCAGGAUGGGUAGAGGGCCUUGGGCUUGUCCGAGCCCUUUUGGAAGAGGAGCACUAUGAGGGGUAGCUUGUUGAGUGAGAAAGAUUGAUCUUCCGAAAGGAUGUUCACUUUCCACUCGACUCAAUAGAAUCAAUGACAAUAAGUCCUUAAAGCCAUGAGUUUGAGUCACGGAAGCUCCCUAUGGGGAAUAAAAUACUGCAAAGACUAUUUAAACUUAAAGGAUGACACACUCAAUAAAUUCAUGGGCCAAAAGGAAUCACAUAUCAAGGUUGGAAUGUUACACUAAUUGAGAAAAUAAAAAGCAAUAGUCAAAUGAAUUCAUUAUAUCCUCAAGGAUAAUCACCUACAUAGGACUAUUAAGUAUGAC
rnacentral:lncRNA from 1 species